rnacentral:sRNA from 1 species
ACCUUGCAUAAUUAUGGUGAUUCAUUGA